rnacentral:rRNA from 1 species
GGGUUGUGAGGUUAAGCGACUAAGCGUACACGGUGGAUGCCCUGGCAGUCAGAGGCGAUGAAGGACGUGCUAAUCUGCGAUAAGCGCCGGUAAGGUGAUAUGAACCGUUAUAACCGGCGAUUUCCGAAUGGGGAAACCCAGUGUGAUUCGUCACACUAUCAUUAACUGAAUCCAUAGGUUAAUGAGGCGAACCGGGGGAACUGAAACAUCUAAGUACCCCGAGGAAAAGAAAUCAACCGAGAUUCCCCCAGUAGCGGCGAGCGAACGGGGAGGAGCCCAGAGCCUGAAUCAGCAUGUGUGUUAGUGGAAGCGUCUGGAAAGGCGCGCGAUACAGGGUGACAGCCCCGUACACAAAAGCGCAUGUGCUGUGAGCUCGAUGAGUAGGGCGGGACACGUGGUAUCCUGUCUGAAUAUGGGGGGACCAUCCUCCAAGGCUAAAUACUCCUGACUGACCGAUAGUGAACCAGUACCGUGAGGGAAAGGCGAAAAGAACCCCGGCGAGGGGAGUGAAAAAGAACCUGAAACCGUGUACGUACAAGCAGUGGGAGCACAGGUUUACCUGUGUGACUGCGUACCUUUUGUAUAAUGGGUCAGCGACUUAUAUUCUGUAGCAAGGUUAACCGAAUAGGGGAGCCGGAGGGAAACCGAGUCUUAAUUGGGCGUUAAGUUGCAGGGUAUAGACCCGAAACCCGGUGAUCUAGCCAUGGGCAGGUUGAAGGUUGGGUAACACUAACUGGAGGACCGAACCGACUAAUGUUGAAAAAUUAGCGGAUGACCUGUGGCUGGGGGUGAAAGGCCAAUCAAACCGGGAGAUAGCUGGUUCUCCCCGAAAGCUAUUUAGGUAGC